rnacentral:rRNA from 1 species
GACGUAGGGCGCGAGCGUUGUCCGGAUUUAUUGGGCGUAAAGAGCUCGUAGGCGGCUUGUCGCGUCGUCCGUGAAAACCCAUGGCUCAACUGUGGGCUUGCGGUCGAUACGGGCAGGCUGGAGUUCGGUAGGGGAGACUGGAAUUCCUGGUGUAGCGGUGAAAUGCGCAGAUAUCAGGAGGAACACCGAUGGCGAAGGCAGGUCUCUGGGCCACUACUGACGCUGAGAAGCGAAAGCAUGGGGAGCGAACAGG